GGGGGAUAUUGCACAAUGGAGGAAACUCUGAUGCAGCAACGCCGCGUGAGGGAAGAAGGUCUUCGGAUUGUAAACCUCUGUCCUCGGUGACGAUAAUGACGGUAGCCGAGGAGGAAGCUCCGGCUAACUACGUGCCAGCAGCCGCGGUAAUACGUAGGGAGCAAGCGUUGUCCGGAUUUACUGGGUGUAAAGGGUGCGUAGGCGGCUCUGCAAGUCAGGCGUGAAAACUAUGGGCUUAACCCAUAGACUGCGUUUGAAACUGUGGGGCUUGAGUGAAGUAGAGGUAGGCGGAAUUCCCGGUGUAGCGGUGAAAUGCGUAGAGAUCGGGAGGAACACCAGUGGCGAAGGCGGCCUACUGGGCUUUAACUGACGCCGAAGCACGAAAGCAUGGGUAGCAAAC
rnacentral:rRNA from 1 species